rnacentral:rRNA from 1 species
UAAGGGAUAUUGGGCAAUGGGCGAAAGCCUGACCCAGCAACGCCGCGUGCAGGAUGACGGCCUUCGGGUUGUAAACUGCUUUGGCGUGGGACGAGGAAGGACGGUACCACGCGAACAAGUCACGGCUAACUACGUGCCAGCAGCCGCGGUAAAACGUAGGUGGCAAGCGUUAUCCGGAUUUACUGGGCGUAAAGCGUGUGCAGGCGGGCGUACAAGUGGUGUAUGAAAUCGCUCGGCUCAACCGGGCGGGGUUAUGCCAGACUGUAGGUCUUGAGGCUGGAAGAGGGACAUGGAAUUCCGGGUGUAGUGGUGAAAUGCGUAGAGAUCCGGAGGAACUCCAGAGGCGAAGGCGGUGUCCUGGACCAGACCUGACGCUCAGACACGAGAGCAUGGGGAGCGAAC